GGGUUGUGAGGUUAAGCGACUAAGCGUACACGGUGGAUGCCCUGGCAGUCAGAGGCGAUGAAGGACGUGCUAAUCUGCGAAAAGCGUCGGUAAGGUGAUAUGAACCGUUAUAACCGGCGAUGUCCGAAUGGGGAAACCCAGUGUGAUUCGUCACACUAUCGUUAACUGAAUACAUAGGUUAACGAGGCGAACCGGGGGAACUGAAACAUCUAAGUACCCCGAGGAAAAGAAAUCAACCGAGAUUCCCCCAGUAGCGGCGAGCGAACGGGGAGCAGCCCAGAGUCUGAAUCAGCUUGUGUGUUAGUGGAACGGUCUGGAAAGUCCGACGGUACAGGGUGAUAGUCCCGUACACCAAAAUGCACAGGUUGUGAACUCGAAGAGUAGGGCGGGACACGUGGUAUCCUGUCUGAAUAUGGGGGGACCAUCCUCCAAGGCUAAAUACUCCUGACUGACCGAUAGUGAACCAGUACCGUGAGGGAAAGGCGAAAAGAACCCCGGCGAGGGGAGUGAAAAAGAACCUGAAACCGUGUACGUACAAGCAGUGGGAGCACCUUCGGGUGUGACUGCGUACCUUUUGUAUAAUGGGUCAGCGACUUAUAUUCUGUAGCAAGGUUAACCGUAUAGGGGAGCCGCAGGGAAACCGAGUCUUAACUGGGCGUUAAGUUGCAGGGUAUAGACCCGAAACCCGGUGAUCUAGCCAUGGGCAGGUUGAAGGUUGGGUAACACUAACUGGAGGACCGAACCGACUAAUGUUGAAAAAUUAGCGGAUGACUUGUGGCUGGGGGUGAAAGGCCAAUCAAACCGGGAGAUAGCUGGUUCUCCCCGAAAGCUAUUUAGGUAGCGCCUCGUGAACUCAUCUUCGGGGGUAGAGCACUGUUUCGGCUAGGGGGUCAUCCCGACUUACCAACCCGAUGCAAACUACGAAUACCGAAGAAUGUUAUCACGGGAGACACACGGCGGGUGCUAACGUCCGUCGUGAAGAGGGAAACAACCCAGACCGCCAGCUAAGGUCCCAAAGUCAUGGUUAAGUGGGAAACGAUGUGGGAAGGCACAGACAGCCAGGAUGUUGGCUUAGAAGCAGCCAUCAUUUAAAGAAAGCGUAAUAGCUCACUGGUCGAGUCGGCCUGCGCGGAAGAUGUAACGGGGCUAAACCAUGCACCGAAGCUGCGGCAGCGACACUAUGUGUUGUUGGGUAGGGGAGCGUUCUGUAAGCCUGCGAAGGUGUGCUGUGAGGCAUGCUGGAGGUAUCAGAAGUGCGAAUGCUGACAUAAGUAACGAUAAAGCGGGUGAAAAGCCCGCUCGCCGGAAGACCAAGGGUUCCUGUCCAACGUUAAUCGGGGCAGGGUGAGUCGACCCCUAAGGCGAGGCCGAAAGGCGUAGUCGAUGGGAAACAGGUUAAUAUUCCUGUACUUGGUGUUACUGCGAAGGGGGGACGGAGAAGGCUAUGUUAGCCGGGCGACGGUUGUCCCGGUUUAAGCAUGUAGGCUGGUUAUCCAGGCAAAUCCGGAUAAUCAAGGCUGAGGUGUGAUGACGAGGCACUACGGUGCUGAAGUAACAAAUGCCCUGCUUCCAGGAAAAGCCUCUAAGCAUCAGGUAACAUCAAAUCGUACCCCAAACCGACACAGGUGGUCAGGUAGAGAAUACCAAGGCGCUUGAGAGAACUCGGGUGAAGGAACUAGGCAAAAUGGUGCCGUAACUUCGGGAGAAGGCACGCUGGUGUGUAGGUGAAGUCCCUGCGGAUGGAGCUGAGACCAGUCGAAGAUACCAGCUGGCUGCAACUGUUUAUUAAAAACACAGCACUGUGCAAACACGAAAGUGGACGUAUACGGUGUGACGCCUGCCCGGUGCCGGAAGGUUAAUUGAUGGGGUUAUCCGUAAGGAGAAGCUCUUGAUCGAAGCCCCGGUAAACGGCGGCCGUAACUAUAACGGUCCUAAGGUAGCGAAAUUCCUUGUCGGGUAAGUUCCGACCUGCACGAAUGGCGUAAUGAUGGCCAGGCUGUCUCCACCCGAGACUCAGUGAAAUUGAACUCGCUGUGAAGAUGCAGUGUACCCGCGGCAAGACGGAAAGACCCCGUGAACCUUUACUAUAGCUUGACACUGAACAUUGAGCCUUGAUGUGUAGGAUAGGUGGGAGGCUUUGAAGCGUGGACGCCAGUCUGCGUGGAGCCAACCUUGAAAUACCACCCUUUAAUGUUUGAUGUUCUAACGUUGGCCCCUGACCGGGGUUGCGGACAGUGUCUGGUGGGUAGUUUGACUGGGGCGGUCUCCUCCCAAAGCGUAACGGAGGAGCACGAAGGUUAGCUAAUCCUGGUCGGACAUCAGGAGGUUAGUGCAAUGGCAUAAGCUAGCUUGACUGCGAGCGUGACGGCGCGAGCAGGUGCGAAAGCAGGUCAUAGUGAUCCGGUGGUUCUGAAUGGAAGGGCCAUCGCUCAACGGAUAAAAGGUACUCCGGGGAUAACAGGCUGAUACCGCCCAAGAGUUCAUAUCGACGGCGGUGUUUGGCACCUCGAUGUCGGCUCAUCACAUCCUGGGGCUGAAGUAGGUCCCAAGGGUAUGGCUGUUCGCCAUUUAAAGUGGUACGCGAGCUGGGUUUAGAACGUCGUGAGACAGUUCGGUCCCUAUCUGCCGUGGGCGCUGGAGAAUUGAGGGGGGCUGCUCCUAGUACGAGAGGACCGGAGUGGACGCAUCACUGGUGUUCGGGUUGUCAUGCCAAUGGCACUGCCCGGUAGCUAAAUGCGGAAGAGAUAAGUGCUGAAAGCAUCUAAGCACGAAACUUGCCCCGAGAUGAGUUCUCCCUGAGACU
rnacentral:rRNA from 1 species